rnacentral:rRNA from 1 species
UCUCCUGGAAAAGGGUGGUAAUGCCGGAUGCUCCAGUUGAUCGCAUGGUCUUCUGGGAAAGCUUUCGCGGUAUGGGAUGGGGUCGCGUCCUAUCAGCUUGACGGCGGGGUAACGGCCCACCGUGGCUUCGACGGGUAGCCGGCCUGAGAGGGCGACCGGCCACAUUGGGACUGAGAUACGGCCCAGACUCCUACGGGAGGCAGCAGUGGGGAAUAUUGCACAAUGGGCGCAAGCCUGAUGCAGCGACGCCGCGUGAGGGAUGGAGGCCUUCGGGUUGUAAACCUCUUUUAUCGGGGAGCAAGCGUGAGUGAGUUUACCCGUUGAAUAAGCACCGGCUAACUACGUGCCAGCAGCCGCGGUAAUACGUAGGGUGCAAGCGUUAUCCGGAAUUAUUGGGCGUAAAGGGCUCGUAGGCGGUUCGUCGCGUCCGGUGUGAAAGUCCAUCGCUUAACGGUGGAUCCGCGCCGGGUACGGGCGGGCUUGAGUGCGGUAGGGGAGACUGGAAUUCCCGGUGUAACGGUGGAAUGUGUAGAUAUCGGGAAGAACACCA